AACGGCGUCUUCAACUCACCGUCCUAACCAGACAACCAAUGAGUGAGCUGUCUUGUAAUAUCAAGCCAAUCGGAGGGAGCAAGGGACGCCCGACAUGGAUUCCCAGAAGAGGAGAUAUUUUAGCUCCCAAGCAGCCGCACGCUCAAGGCGACACAGCAAUACUGGCUUCUGAGUCAGUGAGUUGAGUGAUACGAGGCCACUGAGGGCAUGCAUCCCCACCAGAUUCCAGUUCUGAUCCAUGAAAACCUGAACGACUCCAGCAAAAGAUCUUUUUCACCCUGCACAGCCCAUGCAAAGAUAAAAGAUACAGAUAGCUCUACACCGCUUAAGCUACAACUGCUAUAAAUAAAUAUAAAUCUCCCGCCGCGGUCCCCGCUUCUCCACCCAUGGCUCCCAAAACCUGGCUCCCAAACUCUGCCUCCCCACAACCGUCCUGAAAGCGGAAGCCUCAAAACUUCGGGGGCCGGGUCUGUCGUGUGGAGAUAUCUCGGCAGUUUGACGAACCUUGUCGAGGAGAAACUGUUGGGCUCGGAGGAGGAGGAGGAGACGGCCGUGUUGCUAGGCCCAGUGAAGAGAGCUGAGUCAAUUCAGGCGGGAUGAUUGGCGGGCGGUGAUGGGUGGGAUAUACAUAUGGAGAGGAAAUGUAUGUAUAUGCACGCCGUGCAACCUGUAUAUGUUAUGUUAUGUAUGUAUGUGUGUAUCUAUCUCUACAGAUGGAUGUAGGGUGUAGGCAUGCGUGUGACCAGCAAUCCGAAGGACCCAGACCACGUUACGGAGUAGUUAGGUGCUUUUUCUUCCAUUCAUUUCAUUUAUUCGGAGAGACUAGACUCCCUUUUUUGGCAGCAUCAUGCAUAUUGCAAUCCAUGGUUACAAGUACAAUAGUACAAAGCGGUCUCCCCCAAUCAAUACUUACUUACGAGAGGACGCAACAUCCAGAAAAGAACA
rnacentral:sRNA from 1 species